rnacentral:misc_RNA from 1 species
UGCGCAAAGUUCACGGUGGUCAGCGUUAUUGAGUGGCCGCCGAGUAAAAAUAUAUGUGUAGCACGUCUGCGGCAUAUGUCGGUCGAUUCUAAGGACAUUGUCCAGUCUGUGAACUCGCUCGCGCGAUAGCCCUGUUGGCAAUACCGCUCUCUCUUCCACUUUCGAAGAAGUGGAAAGGCGCGAAGUAAAAUCGGUGAAAUUGGAAAAUGAUAAAUUCGGAAUCGUGAAAGAAUCAUGCCGGCGGGGAUUUCAGCGUUGGCGCCAACCGCCAACGGGGAUCCGUUCGGCCUCGAGGGUGGAAAGGCCGCGUUCACGAUCCUUCAGAAGGACGGGUUGGAUACGAAUCUGCCUCUCGUGGACGAGAGCGAGGACGAGACGAGGCGGAGAUCGGAUCCUGAGAGGAAGGCGAGGAGCGAUCCGACGUUCGACCAUCGAAGGCGAAUCAGCAGAUCGAACGAUCAUUUGGCCCGAUCGAGGCUGCAACCGAAUCCGUUGAGAAGGGAGUCGCGAAGCAGGAGUCAGGACAGUUGCCGUUCGGUGCCUGCUAUCAAGCCCAGCAUGACGCUGUCCACGGAGGAUUUCACCGAGGUUCUGAACGCCAAGUUGAAGAAACUCGAGGAGCAGGAGAGGGAGAGGGAGGAGGAGCGCAAGGGCGCGAGGAAAGGUGAGGGGUUUCGCAGAAAGCCGUUCAUCACCACGGUGAAGACUGGUGAGUUUCUGAUGCCGCCUCCGGAAGUGGCUGCCCUCCUCGGUAUCGCGUCGAACGACGAGGACACCGACAACUGCCCCCUGCGCUCCAAAUUCAAAUCGCUCGCCUCGCUUGCGAGGAAGCCGGAAGUCCGUCAUAGCAGCCACAUAGCCAGGUGUCCGACUGCCCUCAAGGCCACUGUCGACUUCACCCUCGGAAUGAUGAACGCGACGACCAUGGCCGCCGCCUCCACGACCUUGGACGAUCGAACGUCCAAGAUCGCCAAGAGGAACGAGGCGACCGACCAACGAAUCCCUUUCGGGAAUAUCAUGUUCGAUCGUCGCGUUGUUCGUGGAAGCACUUUCGCCGCCGCUCCCGUUCUUAUCGAUGGCGAACGAUCGAUAGCCGCCAGGCAAGCGGAAGCCAGAAGGAGAAAUUUGGCGAGGAAACGGGCCCAGGCAUUGGCCACGAAAAGUUUGGUGGCCAGAGCCGGUUCGCCACCCCCUGUUCCCGGCCGAAAACACGAGCCGGUGCAAACGGAGAUAUACCUCGAGGAGCUGUUCGAGAAACCGGACGAGGUCGAAGUUGCGACGCAAACCGAUUAUUUCUUGGACAAGCCGUUGACGCCGAAAUAUUGUCCGCAAAAGAUUGGAGAAGACGUUUCCACCCAAAUAGAGCCCGGUGACCUAUUCGACUUCGACUUCGAGGUGCAACCGAUACUGGAGACGCUGGUUGGAAAAACGAUAGAGCAGGCGUUGAUGGAGGUUCUCGAGGAGGAAGAAAUUGCCGCUUUGAAGGAGCAGCAAAGAAAGUUCUUGGAGUUGCGGGCCGCGGAAAAGGCGGAAACGCGAAGAUUGGAGGAGCAGGAGAGAAGGCUGAGAGAGGAGAAGGAUCAACGAUUGAAACAAUACGAAGACUCGAUGAUCGCUCAAAGGGAGACGGAGGAACGAAUUGCAGCAGCUACCCUGUUAACGGGAUACAUAGCCGAACUUCUUCCAGCUGUUCUAGAAGGAUUGAAAAUGUCCGGUUUUCUAUUGGACGAGAUCAAGGCUGGUUCGUGAGCACGCAAGAACACUGCUACUUUUUGUGAAUUAGUUAAUCUGAAAGAUGUCGAGGACGGUUUCAUGCCUUGGUUGAUGAGGGAGGUUAAGAAAGAGAUAGGGCACAUGGUUGAGAGCAGAGAGGUACUUAUGGAGAUAAUCAGGGAAAUUUUGGAGAAUCGGGCGGAAACGUACAAAAAGCUUGGCGAGGAAUACGAUGCGUCUAGGAAAAAACCGGUGACGGAUACUUUAGAGGACGGAGGGAUCGAUCCAAACUUCAUUAAUUACGAGCCGCUUGUCAUCGAGGGACAGGACGUUUAGCCAGCCAAAUUAUUCGGCCUUGUACGUUGAAAAUUGAGAGAAGAAAGGGGAAAACAAUUUUUAUCACAGGUUUAUCAACGACAUCACUGAUCAAAUCGUCGCCUCGUCGAAUUUUUUUUUUUCUUUUCCGUUCUCCUCCUAUUUUUUUCACCUCUCGGUUUACCGAAGCUUUUCGAUUCUCGUUGAUCUACGAAAGGAGAAACGAGCGUAUCAUAGUUAGCUUUCGGAUUUAGGGACACCUUCACCAGCACCCAGCCAAUCCCUAUCCCAGUGGCUUCUACAUUAAGCAGUGUACACAGCUGCGAAACAAAUCCAUCUCCUCCGGUUGCGCCCCGUGACAGGUCGCCACCGCCGCGUUUUCGAUCCCCAUAGCAAACAUCGACCACCACCGCCGCAC